rnacentral:rRNA from 1 species
GACGAACGCUGGCGGCGUGCUUAACACAUGCAAGUCGAACGCUGAAGACCUGGCUUUUGUUGGGUUGGAUGAGUGGCGAAAGGGUGAGUAACACGUGAGUAACCUGCCCUCUUCUUUGGGAUAACGCCCGGAAACGGGUGCUAAUACUGGAUAUUCACUGGCCUUCGCAUGGGGGUUGGUGGAAAGGUUUGUUCUGGUGGGGGAUGGGCUCGGGGCCUAUCAGCUUGUUGGUGGGGUGAUGGCCUACCAAGGCUUUGACGGGUAGCCGGCCUGAGAGGGUGACCGGUAACAUUGGGACUGAGAUACGGCCCAGACUCCUACGGGAGGCAGCAGUGGGGAAUAUUGCACAAUGGGCGAAAGCCUGAUGCAGCGACGCCGCGUGAGGGAUGGAGGCCUUCGGGUUGUAAACCUCUUUCGCUCAUGGUCAAGCCGCAACUGUGGGUUGUGGUGAGGGUAGUGGGUAAAGAAGCGCCGGCUAACUACGUG